rnacentral:rRNA from 1 species
UACGUAGGUGGCAAGCGUUGUCCGGAAUUACUGGGUGUAAAGCGCGUGUAGGCGGGAGGCCAAGUCUGCUGUGAAAUCGCCCGGCUCAACUGGGCGGGGUCGGUGGAAACUGGUCACCUGGAGGACGGUAGAGGCGAGUGGAAUCCCGGUGUAGUGGUGAAAUGCGUAGAGAUCGGGAGGAACACCAGUGGCGAAGGCGGCUCGCUGGGCCGGCCCUGACGCUGAGACGCGAAGGCGUGGGGAGC